AUGAAUUAUUGUUCGUUCAAGGAUGACGUGGUAGUCAUAAUGAAAAUAAAGCUACCACUCAUUGGAGUGAGGACGUGCUCCACUUACAAGGCAUACAAAACAGAUACAGCUAGAUUGGCUAAUCUGCCGGAAGAUUUGCAACCAGAAGAGUGGGAAUGGAUGAUUGAGUACUUUGGCACUGAUUCAAAAUUUCAGGAUCGCAUCCAAACGAACGCUGAUAACCGUAAGAAACAGAAGACAAAACACAUAAUCGGAUCAAAAUCUUACUCGCAAGUUAGUUUUGAGAAGAGAAACUUGGAAACUGGAGAAGAGCCAGAUUCUAUUGCUCUGUGGGAACUCACCCACACGAAUGAUGGAACAUGGUCUAACACAGAUUCCCAGAAAGUUUACGACAAAGCACUUCAAGAGGUUAAAAUCAAAGAAACUGAAGGUCCACUUUCAAGUGAGCAGAAAAACAAUAUUUUCCAGACCUCUUACAAAGACACUCUGGAAUGCAAGUCAUCGCAGCCUCGUGGGUACGGAUACAUUGCCAAAACUUCAACUGGUUCUGAAAGGUUUCAUAUCCAGAUCGAAGAGCAAGCUCAUGCUACAGCAGCCACCUAG
rnacentral:rRNA from 1 species